rnacentral:rRNA from 1 species
UACGUAGGGCGCAAGCGUUGUCCGGAAUUAUUGGGCGUAAAGAGCUCGUAGGCGGUUUGUCACGUCGGAUGUGAAAGCCCGGGGCUUAACCCCGGGUCUGCAUUCGAUACGGGCAGACUAGAGUGUGGUAGGGGAGAUCGGAAUUCCUGGUGUAGCGGUGAAAUGCACAGAUAUCAGGAGGAACACCGGUGGCGAAGGCGGAUCUCUGGGCCAUUACUGACGCUGAGGAGCGAAAGCGUGGGGAGCGAACAGG